rfam:Phaeosphaeria nodorum SN15 scaffold_5, whole genome shotgun sequence.
GGGUUGGUAGUGUAGUGGUAACACGCUCUAGCUUUGGCUGAAGUAAGCUGAGUUCGAAUCUCGGUCAGCUCA